CCUACGGGAGGCAGCAGUGGGGAAUUUUGGACAAUGGGCGCAAGCCUGAUCCAGCAAUGCCGCGUGCAGGAUGAAGGCCUUCGGGUUGUAAACUGCUUUUGUACGGAACGAAACGGUGAGCUCUAAUAAAGUUUGCUAAUGACGGUACCGUAAGAAUAAGCACCGGCUAACUACGUGCCAGCAGCCGCGGUAAUACGUAGGGUGCGAGCGUUAAUCGGAAUUACUGGGCGUAAAGCGUGCGCAGGCGGUUAUAUAAGACAGAUGUGAAAUCCCCGGGCUCAACCUGGGACCUGCAUUUGUGACUGUAUAGCUAGAGUACGGUAGAGGGGGAUGGAAUUCCGCGUGUAGCAGUGAAAUGCGUAGAUAUGCGGAGGAACACCGAUGGCGAAGGCAAUCCCCUGGACCUGUACUGACGCUCAUGCACGAAAGCGUGGGGAGCAAACAGGAUUAGAUACCCUGGUAGUCCACGCCCUAAACGAUGUCAACUGGUUGUUGGGUUCUUCACUGACUCAGUAACGAAGCUAACGCGUGAAGUUGACCGCCUGGGGAGUACGGCCGCAAGGUUGAAACUCAAAGGAUUGACGGCNGAGAGNGCGACGACGACGACGAGGGAGGAGG
rnacentral:rRNA from 1 species